AAGGAUCAUUACCCGAGUGCGGGCCCUCUGGGUCCAACCUCCCACCCGUGUCUAUUGUACCUUUGUUGCUUCGGCGGGCCCGCCGUCAGGCCGCCGGGGGGGCAUUCGCCCCCGGGCCGCGCCGCCGAAGACCCCAACACGAACACUGUUCUGAAUUGCAGUCUGAGUUGAUUAUUAAAUCAAUUAAAACUUUCAACAACGGAUCUCUUGGUUCCGGCAUCGAUGAAGAACGCAGCGAAAUGCGAUAACUAAUGUGAAUUGCAGAAUUCAGUGAAUCAUCGAGUCUUUGAACGCACAUUGCGCCCCCUGGUAUUCCGGGGGCGAUGCCUGUCCGAGCGUCAUUGCUGCCCUCCAAGCACGGCUUGUGUGUUGGGCCCCCGUCCCCGUCGUCCCGGGACCGGGCCCGGAAACGGACAGCGGCGGGCGACCGUCGUCCGGUCCGUCGAGCGUAUGGGCGUUUGUUCACCCGCCUCUGUAGG
rnacentral:misc_RNA from 1 species